rnacentral:rRNA from 1 species
GUGAGGAAUAUUGGUCAAUGGGCGAGAGCCUGAACCAGCCAAGUCGCGUGAAGGAAGACGGCCCUACGGGUUGUAAACUUCUUUUGCAAUGGAAUAAAAAGAGUUACGUGUAAUUCAUUGUAUGUACAUUGCGAAUAAGGAUCGGCUAACUCCGUGCCAGCAGCCGCGGUAAUACGGAGGAUCCGAGCGUUAUCCGGAUUUAUUGGGUUUAAAGGGUGCGUAGGCGGAUUGGAAAGUCAGCGGUGAAAGUUUGCAGCUUAACUGUAAAAUUGCCAUUGAAACUGUCAGUCUUGAGUGCAAAUGAGGUAGGCGGAAUGUGUUGUGUAGCGGUGAAAUGCAUAGAUAUAACACAGAACACCAAUUGCGAAGGCAGCUUACUGGGAUGCAACUGACGCUGAGGCACGAAAGCGUGGGGAUCAAACAGGAUUAGAUACCCGGGUAGUCC